AGGGGAGGGAGGAGAGUGGGGAACCCAGAAGCUUGGAUCCCAGCAGCGAGAGAUCGGUCGGGGCCAUAGAGCUGGCCUUCAAUACAGGCUCCAGAGCCACCUGCUGGGCCUCCAUCUCCCUCCGAGCCUGCUCAAGGAUGGAGCGAAUGUUCUCGUCAGAGUUGCUGGAGGAGGACGGAGGCUGAGAACUCUCAACUGCAGGAACAGAAGACAACAUAUUCCAGGCCAGAGAUUGAGAAGAAACAGACCAGCACAACAAAAACAUACAGACACAGCGGAUCUGACACUCCAGAAACCCGUAACACGAGAGGGAAGGCGUGAGACAGACCUGGCCGCGUGGAGCCUUCCGAGCCGGUUCUUCGCUUCGGAACAUCCUGAAACACUCUGUUCAGGUUCUGGCCUGGGUUCUCUGUUGGAAAACAAGUGGCGGAAGAUAGAAAUAAAUACAGGCAUGCAGAGAAUCACUCUUACCAUUUCUGGUGCUUUCUGGAUCUGAUUGGAUGGUUGCAGGGUCUUGCCAGCUGAAGUGAGCUGCUCCCUCAGACUCACGGCCUCCCUCUCUGCCGCCUCGGCCCUCUGUGGGCCACAAACAGAACAAAUGGGUGAAAAAUUGCCAUGGUUGAGGAUUCAUAACCAUUAUAUCAACCGACGUUUAUGAAUUGUGAAGACUGGGAGCUAAAAGAUCACAGGCCUGUUUUUAUGUGGCUGGGCUGAAAAAUGUUAACUGAACUCACAUGGGUGCUACUUGGCUGAGUGCUCUAGUAUUCAAGCUAAAGUAUGUCAAGGUAUGUACGGUUGGUUGAGUCACAGAAUAUGCAAAUCACACAGAAUUCAUUUUAAAUAAAGAUUGUGGUGUUAAUUCAUUUGCUGCCCAAGAAUGGAUGCCUGACCUAAAGACAAACGGCUGGAUUCAUGAUGAGACUUCAAAAGUUAAAUAUAUUGUAAAAGCUGCUUAAAGCAUUCAACCUUUAGCUGCACCGAAUUCAACACCACCAUCUUUAUGCAUUUAUGGUAAUGACAAGCUUAAUUAUGCUAAUUUAUUCUAAACGUCUACGUAACAAGUCUUACCAAAUGUUCUUUUUUCUGUUGAUUGGAAUAAUAAUGCUAAUGAAAACAAUGAUUAUAAACUUUUUAC